rnacentral:ncRNA from 1 species
UUUCCGUGAAGAGGCGGAAAUAACACAAUAAGACGAGAAGACCCUAUGGAGCUUAAAUUAAUAUUCCAACUUAAACAACUUCAAAUCUAAUCGAUGUAAAAUCUGCAACCACUGGAAUAAACAUUUUGGUUGGGGUGACCUCGGAGCAUAAAAAAACCUCCGAAGGACUAACAUUAAGACCAACUAGUCCAAAUUAUAAAUGUCCAAAUAUUGACCCAGAAAUAAUUCUGAUCAAUGAACCAAGUUACCCUAGGGAUAACAGCGCAAUCUUGUUAAAGAGUUCAUAUCGACAAUAAGGUUUACGACCUCGAUGUUGGAUCAGG